UAUUGGUCAAUGGCCGAGAGGCUGAACCAGCCAAGUCGCGUGAGGGAAGAAUGUCCAAUGGAUUGUAAACCUCUUUUGUCAGGGAGCAAAGUCACCCACGUGUGGGCGUUGGAGAGUACCUGAAGAAAAAGCAUCGGCUAACUACGUGCCAGCAGCCGCGGUAAUACGGAGGAUGCGAGCGUUAUCCGGAUUUGUUGGGUUUAAAGGGUGCGUAGGCUGGUUAUCAAGUCAGCGGUAAAAUCGUGGAGCUCAACUCCAUCCAGCCGUUGAAACUGAUGAUCUUGGGUGGGCGAGAAGUAUGCGGAAUGCGUGGUGUAGCAGUGAAAUGCAUAGAUAUCACGCAGAACUCCGAUUGCGAAGGCAGCAUACCGGCGCCCGACUGACGCUGAAGCACGAAAGCGUGGGUAUCGAACAGG
rnacentral:rRNA from 1 species